CCCAGCAGCCCUGUCUGUGCAGAGUGAGCUCAUGGCUAAUGAGAGGUGCAGCAUAUAAGCUAAGCAGGGUUGAGCCUGGUCAGUACCUGAAUGGGAGACCUCCUGGGAAAACUAGGUUGCUGUUGGAA
rnacentral:rRNA from 1 species